GCCUNNCCGUAACAUACAAUAAAACCACCCAUUGUUCGCCAAAUAACUACGAGUAAAAACUUAAAAUUUAAAAGACUUGACGGUACCCCACAACAACCUAGAGGAGCCUGUUCAAUAACCGAUACUCCACGAUUAAUCCAACCCCCUCUAGCCUAUCAGUCUAUAUACCGCCGUCGCCAGCCUACCUUAUGAAAGAAACAAAGUAAGCUCAAUAGCCACACUCUAACACGACAGGUCAAGGUGUAACUUAUGGGGGGGACCAGAAUGGGCUACAUUAUCUGACAAAGAUAUACGAAUAAACUAUGAAACAAGAAACUGAAGGCGGAUUUAGCAGUAUACUACGAACACAAUACCUAGUCGAAACUUAAUGCAAUGNNNUGCGU
rnacentral:rRNA from 1 species